rnacentral:rRNA from 1 species
CCUACGGGUGGCUGCAGUCGAGGAUCUUCGUCAAUGGGCGCAAGCCUGAACGAGCGACGCCGCGUGCGCGAUGAAGGCCUUCGGGUUGUAAAGCGCGAAAGUGGGGAUAAGAUCCACAGUAAGGACGGGCUAAGUUCGUGCCAGCAGCCGCGGUAAGACGAACUGUCCUAACGUUGUUCGGAAUCACUGGGCUUAAAGGGCGCGUAGGCGGUCCGACAAGUCAGGGGUGAAAUCCUGCAGCUUAACUGCAGAAGUGCCUUUGAUACUGUCGGUCUCGAGGGAGAUAGGGGUGUGCGGAACUUCCAGUGGAGCGGUGAAAUGCGUUGAUAUUGGAAGGAACGCCGGAGGCGAAAGCGGCGCACUGGUCCUUCUGACGCUGAGGCGCGAAAGCUAGGGGAGCAAACGGGAUUAGAUACCCUUGUAGUC